UGAGCAUUUAUUGCUAGCAGAAAAUGAAGUGGACACCUCGGAAUUCGAAGAAAUAAAUGCUUUGACUAGACCGGACAAGAUAAGGGAGGAGACCGGAGUGAUAGAGAUCGGAAGAGGGGAGGCCUGCGUGAAAGAUCAGAAAAGGAGCGUGUUAGGAAGACCGGAAAGGAGGAGAGAGUAGAGAGUAAGGGGAAUAAGACAACUGCCGCUAACCAUCAUCAGAAUCAGAGCCGAGGUAGUUA
rnacentral:misc_RNA from 1 species